rnacentral:rRNA from 1 species
UACGUAGGGUGCAGGCGUUAAUCGGAAUUACUGGGCGUAAAGCGUGCGCAGGCGGCUCCUUAAGUCAGAUGUGAAAUCCCCGGGCUUAACCUGGGAACCGCGUUUGAAACUGGGGGGCUUGAGUGUGGAAGAGGGGGGUGGAAUUCCAGGUGUAGCAGUGAAAUGCGUAGAGAUCUGGAGGAACACCGAUGGCGAAGGCAGCCCCCUGGGCCAACACUGACGCUCAUGCACGAAAGCGUGGGGAGCAAACAGG